rnacentral:rRNA from 1 species
AGUGAACGCUGGCGGUAGGCCUAACACAUGCAAGUCGAACGGCAGCACAGUAAGAGCUUGCUCUUACGGGUGGCGAGUGGCGGACGGGUGAGGAAUACAUCGGAAUCUACUUUUUCGUGGGGGAUAACGUAGGGAAACUUACGCUAAUACCGCAUACGACCUACGGGUGAAAGCAGGGGAUCUUCGGACCUUGCGCGAUUGAAUGAGCCGAUGUCGGAUUAGCUAGUUGGCGGGGUAAAGGCCCACCAAGGCGACGAUCCGUAGCUGGUCUGAGAGGAUGAUCGGCCACCCUGGAACUGAGCCACGCUCCAGACUCCUACGGGAGGCAGCAGUGGGGAAUAUUGGACAAUGGGCGCAAGCCUGAUCCAGCCAUACCGCGUGGGUGAAGAAGGCCUUCGGGUUGUAAAGCCCUUUUGUUGGGAAAGAAAAGCAGCAGGUUAAUACCCCGCUGUUCUGACGGUACCCAAAGAAUAAGCACCGGCUAACUUCGUG